GAUGAAUGCUGGCGGGAGGCCUAACACAUGCAAGUCGAGCGGUAACACUUCGGGUGACGAGCGGCGAACGGCUGAGUAACGCGUUGGUACCUGCCCCGAACUCAGGGAUAAGCACUGGAAACGGUGUCUAAUACCGGAUGUCCCAGUAAUGGGAAAGAUUUAUCGGUUCGGGAGGGGCCUGCGUUGUAUCAGGUAGUUGGUGAGGUAAUGGCUCACCAAGCCUAUGACGCAUAUCUGGUGUGAGAGCAUGACCAGACAGAGUGGGACUGAGACACGGCCCACACUCCUACGGGAGGCAGCAGUGAGGAAUUUUCCGCAAUGGGCGAAAGCCUGACGGAGCUAUCCCGCGUGGAGGAAGACACCUUUCGGGGCGUAAACUCCUUUUCUGAAGGACGAAGUUCUGACGGUACUUCAGGAAUAAGCGACGGCUAAUUACG
rnacentral:rRNA from 1 species